GCAUUGGUGGUUCAGUGGUAGAAUUCUCACCUGCCACUCGGGAGGCCUGGGUUCAAUUCCCAGCCAAUGCA
rnacentral:tRNA from 2 species